AGUGAACGCUGGCGGUAGGCCUAACACAUGCAAGUCGAACGGCAGCACAGUAAGAGCUUGCUCUUACGGGUGGCGAGUGGCGGACGGGUGAGGAAUACAUCGGAAUCUACUUUUUCGUGGGGGAUAACGUAGGGAAACUUACGCUAAUACCGCAUACGACCUACGGGUGAAAGCAGGGGAUCUUCGGACCUUGCGCGAUUGAAUGAGCCGAUGUCGGAUUAGCUAGGUGGCGAGGUAAAGGCCCACCAAGGCGACGAUGCGUAGCCGAUCUGAGAGGGUGAGCGGCAACAAUGGAACUGAGACACGGUCCAGACUCCGACGGGAGGCAGCAGUAGGGAAUCGUCCGCAAUGGGCGAAAGCCUGACGGAGCAAUGCCGCGUGAGUGAUGAAGGGCUUCGGAUCGUAAAACUCUGUUAUUAGGGAAGAACAAAUGUGUAAGGAACUAUGCACGUCUUGACGGUACCUAAUCAGAAAGCCACGGCUAGCUACGUG
rnacentral:rRNA from 1 species